UACGAAGGGUGCAAGCGUUACUCGGAAUUACUGGGCGUAAAGCGUGCGUAGGUGGUUGUUUAAGUCUGUUGUGAAAGCCCUGGGCUCAACCUGGGAAUUGCAGUGGAUACUGGGCGACUAGAGUGUGGUAGAGGGUAGUGGAAUUCCCGGUGUAGCAGUGAAAUGCGUAGAGAUCGGGAGGAACAUCCAUGGCGAAGGCAGCUACCUGGACCAACACUGACACUGAGGCACGAAAGCGUGGGGAGCAAACGGG
rnacentral:rRNA from 1 species